CGGCAGCUCUGACAAGGAGUGAAGAGAAGCACCCCUUCCCCCAACGCCAGAGGACCUCUGAGAGCAGAGCCCCCCGGACACUUGCUCCAGCCAGAGGGCCUGAAGGCUUGAACAUAGUGAGAAGCAAAUUCCAAUGAACAGGAGGAUCACUUACUAUUCCUGCUGGCUGCCUGAACAACCUCUAGGCUGCUUGAAUAUACUUCAAGUGCACAUCUGGAUCUUGGCUGAAGUUCACAAUUGAGCCCAAGAAGUAGAAGAGGCCUAUGAAGAGAGACUGUUCCAU